GAUGAACGCUGGCGGCGUGCCUAAUACAUGCAAGUCGAGCGAACAGAUGAGGAGCUUGCUCCUCUGACGUUAGCGGCGGACGGGUGAGUAACACGUGGAUAACCUACCUAUAAGACUGGGAUAACUUCGGGAAACCGGAGCUAAUACCGGAUAAUAUAUUGAACCGCAUGGUUCAAUAGUGAAAAACGGUUUUGCUGUCACUUAUAGAUGGAUCCGCGCCGCAUUAGCUAGUUGGUAAGGUAACGGCUUACCAAGGCAACGAUGCGUAGCCGACCUGAGAGGGUGAUCGGCCACACUGGAACUGAGACACGGUCCAGACUCCUACGGGAGGCAGCAGUAGGGAAUCUUCCGCAAUGGGCGAAAGCUUGACGGAGCAACGCCGCGUGAGUGAUGAAGGUCUUCGGAUCGUAAAACUCUGUUAUUAGGGAAGAACAAAUGUGUAAGUAACUAUGCACGUCUUGACGGUACCUAAUCAGAAAGCCACGGCUAACUACGUG
rnacentral:rRNA from 1 species